AAAUAAAGAACGAAAGAAAUGAAAUUUGUAGGAAAAUGGGUAGAACUAGAAAAUGUAAAGUGAGGUAAUUCAGGCGCAAAAAGAUGAAUGGUGUCAGUCCCUCUCGUCUGUUGAUACACACAUUGUUACAUGCAUGCGAUAGGUGAAGAAAUGUGUGUAGAUGUGAGAUGGGAAGGAAUCUUUAUGGUGAGACAGAGAGAAUAGAAGGGUAUGAUGCAACAAUGACAUAAUAGAAGGGUAUGGUAUGACAGUGAUAGAAUAGAAGGGUAUGAUACAACAGUGAUAGAAUAGAAGGGUAUGAUGUGACAGUGAUGGAGUAGAAGGGUAUGAUGUGACAGUGAUAGAAUAGAAGGGUAUGGUGUGACAGUGAUAGAAUAGAUGGAUAUGAUACGGCAGUGAUAGAAUAGAAGGGUAUGGUAGGACAAUGAAAGAAUAGAAGGUUACAAUAUGACAGUGGAUGGGAAGACAUAGAAGCAAAAGAUACAGCAGAGAAGGGCGCACCGUGAAUCCCCGUGGACUGAGAAUGGCCAGAAGAAAUUCUUGUUUAGUGCUCUGCAAGAUAAACUGCCUAGGAAGAGAACAUGUGUGGGAGGGAGAACAGCUCAAGCAGAGGCUGGGCUGGCAGGGUAUAUGCCGUCUCUAUGUGUGGGUGUGUAUACAUGAGCACGAUGCCCACAGAGACCAGAACAUGGUGUCAGGUCCCCUGAGGCUGACGUUACAAGGUGCUGAGCUUCCUGAUGUGGGUGCUAGGAAUUGAAUUUCAGUUUUCUGCAAAAACAGAAGGUACCCUUAGUUACCGAGCCAUCUCCCCAGCCUUGCGAAUAAAGUAAAAUGUUAGAAAUGAAAUCUCUAUUAAGAGAUGUGUGUUCUUGAUCUGCUUCCUGGUUUCCCGAAGUUUUCAAUAACAUGAGUAUAGUACAUAAUCAAGAAAAAAUGGGAAAUUUCAUU
rnacentral:sRNA from 1 species